rnacentral:rRNA from 1 species
AACGAACGCUGGCGGCAUGCCUAACACAUGCAAGUCGAACGAGACCUUCGGGUCUAGUGGCGCACGGGUGCGUAACGCGUGGGAAUCUACCCUUGGGUUCGGAAUAACAGCGAGAAAUUGCUGCUAAUACCGGAUGAUGACGUAAGUCCAAAGAUUUAUCGCCCAAGGAUGAGCCCGCGUAGGAUUAGCUAGUUGGUGAGGUAAAGGCUCACCAAGGCGACGAUCCUUAGCUGGUCUGAGAGGAUGAUCAGCCACACUGGGACUGAGACACGGCCCAGACUCCUACGGGAGGCAGCAGUGGGGAAUAUUGGACAAUGGGCGAAAGCCUGAUCCAGCAAUGCCGCGUGAGUGAUGAAGGCCUUAGGGUUGUAAAGCUCUUUUACCCGGGAUGAUAAUGACAGUACCGGGAGAAUAAGCUCCGGCUAACUCCGUGCCAGCAGCCGCGGUAAU